rnacentral:misc_RNA from 1 species
GAUAAUGGAAGGUAAAGUAUCAAAACUUCUUAACCCACCUGAUGGCAUAGUUAUUAAAAACUCAAGGCGCAUUAAGGGGCUAAGGGCUUCUGGAGUUUAGGCGCAAGGUGCAAGGUCAAGGCGUACACCUGGGCAAGGUGAGACGCAAAAAAAAAAAAUUCAAAAUAAAAUAAAUAUGAAUAUUUCAUCGAACUUCAAAUAACAUAAAUCUAAAAAUAAUAAUAACCAAUAAGUAUUGAAGUACUAAUAUAUUAAAACUUGACUAGUCUUUUGAUAUUUCACAACUAAAGUCAAGCAAUUAUAAAA